UUUAGAGGUCGCUUUAAUCGAAUAUGAAUACGCAACUAAUAAGUUAGAUUUAUAAAAAACAGAAAAUAAAUUGCAUAGCAAUUUUUUGGAAUUGGCAACGAAAUGAAUUGUAAAGAUUCUGCUCAGCUUUUAAUUCUACCAACGCUGAGGACACAUCAAUUUUCAGAAACUGUAUUUGGAAGUACUGUUGAGUUCUUUGUAUUGAAGAUGGUUGGCAGUUUCUUUUUGUGGAUUGGACAAGACAACAAACUACAUAAUCUAGCUCUAGCUAUGAAAACUCCAUAUGAUAAACUACCUAGUUCCACAUUUUUACUGGGAGAUCAUAUAGAUACAUUAUCAUCUAGUUUGGCACUGAAACUCAGUCAGAAAACAGGAAAACAAGUGUUUGUUAGUUACAAUCUACCAUCAAGCGAAGUUGCACUGUUAAAUAUAAUACAUGAACGACUUGCUAAAGAAAUGAAAGAAAACCCUGAUAAUUUCUGAUACUAGUAAGUUGUAAAAUAAUGUAAACAUCUGUUUUCAUUACAGUUAAAGUUCAUUCAUUUGUUUAAGAAAUAAAUGAUUUAGUCACUCAGAGGAUAAGGUUUGGUAAUCUUUAUAUCUUGCUAUGCAAGAUGUAUUUAAGUAUUCACUAAAUCAUGUUUGUUUAUUCAUUAUAUAAAGGAAAAGAUAUGAUCAUUUGAAGAAUAACAUAGUAUUGUGUAAAUUUAAACAUGGAAGUUGACAGUCCUUUAGAUGGACUUGGUUGUUGUUUACCAUCCAGAGAUCAAAUAUUACAUUAACCAGAGGAUAUUACAGAUUUAGUUAAGAACAUCAUUUUUAUGAUAUCCUUUAUUUGAAAUUCUUUAACUCAUUAUCUUUCCACCUCCUGCUUAGUUUUUCCUAUUGUUUUUUUAUGUUUGUAUCUUUUGAUUUUUUAAAUACUUAGUUAUUUUUACUUUUUUAUUUAUUUUUUAUUUUAUUUUUAUUUUUACAGACCUUGCACUUUAAAGUUCUCCUACUUUAUUGAUGAGUUGCAGUUGAAAUUGAAACUUUUUUAUAAGUGACUCAAAAUGCAAUCUCCUGUUUCAAAUGUUUUGUGCAGGAUGUAUUCAUAUGAUUGUAAUAUUAUGGUUUUUUUAGGUACUAGUAUCUCAUCUAGCAGUCUUAUGAUUUAUUGGUAUGUUUGUUGUACAUGUAUUAGCUCCUUUAGUAUAAACAAGAAGUAAUCACAUGGUAACUAAGUUGCAUACACAUGAUGCAUUGAUCAUCAAGAUUUUGUAAAAUAGUAUUGGUAGUUUAUUGAUUUUUUUGUUUUAAAAUCAUCUCAAACAUCUGAAAAAUAAUAAUGAAGAUUUUGCCAUAGUGAGUACUUAUUAUGAAAUUAAAAUUCACUCAGUGAUAACUGUUAUUUCGUUUUUGUGGAAAAUUUGGUAAAAUAUUAACUUUUAUUUAAAAAUUUGUCAUAUAAUGCAUGUACAAAACAUUUAAAAUUCAUAAAAAUGGGUUUCAAUUUCAAGAUAUGCAUCAUUACCACAAUAAGGUGGUAUAUUUCUAGCUUGUGUAUUAGUUUUAAAUUAUUUGUGACUUAAAAACAGUGGACAAAAUUAAGUAAGCCUUAUUUUUGUCAUUCAUAAGCCAAAUGUCUAGGAAAGAUAAUUAUAAUACACUUCAUGUGUAAAAAUCUGAAACAUUACAUCAUAGCUUUUAACAGGUGUAGUUCAAUUGACUUCUAAUUAAGUCUGUACUGUUCAGUAGUUUGUGAAACAGCUUGCCACCAACAACGUGUAACACAAGUUUUCAUUAUAAUUUUUUUUCAAUUUAUUGAAUUUGUUUUCCAAAACAUAUACACACUAUAUCUGUUCUAAAUAUAAUGUGUUUAGUAAGAUGCAUUUAUCAUCACUAUUGAAUAUUAAAUAAAAUUGAAAAUAUAGAUAAGUAUUUAAAUAGUGAUAGAAUAAAUAAAAACUUUAAACAACUUAGGAAAUAUGUAUUAAACUUUAAUGAUUUGUAAUAAUUUGAAGUUCCACAGUAAAGUCGUACUGCUGGGAAUAAGUAGAUAGAGUGCAGCCUACAACCGCAACGUCAUGCCGGUCGUAGGCUUCAAGGCAAAGGUCUACUUUUUUGUGUACUAAAGUUCGUCCUCGUCUUGUCCACUUCUGAUUAAAAUAAACCAGUAUGAUUUUUCAGAAAUUUAA